rnacentral:lncRNA from 1 species
CCUGCCGCUAUGCAAGGCGUGACUUUGCUCCUCCUUUGCCUUCUGACAUGAUUGUGAGGCCUCCCCAGCCAUGUGGAACUGAUUAAAAAAACCCACGCUGCUGAUAUCCUUGUCAGCCUUUUCCUGAAUCAUUGCUGUGCAGCUCCAGGGAGCCACGGGCCGGUGCCUUCUGACCGGCAGACUCCGUCCAUGGGCCUUCCUGUCCUUGGGGUCCUGGAGCUCUCUGUCUGAGCCUCCUUGGCCACUGAAGCAACACCCAGAGGCCUGCAUCCUCUAAGAAAUGCCAGCCAGGGUUGCAGAUGGAGCCAAGAAUUGAAAAUCUGGCCGAGUCUUUCCAUCUCACAGAUGAGCAAGCUGAACCUCAGAGGGCUUAGUGAUGUGGUUGAGGCACAGCCACCAAGGAUCAAUGACUGAGCCUCAAAACCACCUCUUCUGAGAGUACUGCUUUCUUACCCGAGGAUGGCCCAUCAGGGUGAUCUGGAAGGCAGAAGACGGGAGUUUUUCUGUGAACUCACUGUGGUGGGGGUGGUCCUUGGAAAAGUACUGAGUACACAGAAGUGGCGACGGGCAAAUGGAGAUCCUGGAAAAGGAGGUUUUCUACCAAAAUAUCCUUGUGAACAUGAGGACAGCUUCCAAACUGAGAAAGAGUGGGCUCGAGAAAGCUCUAAUGCUUCUUUCCCUGACACGAAGUGCUUCGUGCAGUGUUUGGCAUCAACAUGUCGGAGCCGUGGCAACGUUCUCCGUGCAUCCCCGCUUGGGCGUCAUUUUAAAGGGCCCACCUUGUGUACGAGAUGCACUUUGAUUUACUGACUUGCUUACGGAGAAAGGAGUCGUGGAAAUGUACCUGGCUGUGAGACAUAUAUUCACAGACACGUGUACAUCUUUAUGCCCACACAGAAGGGUAACAGCAGCCUUGCUUCAGAGGCCACACCUUCCAGGAAACCCUUCAGCCUGCCGUGUCUUAGCUGAUCCCUCUGCCAUCCCCUUGCAGAAGGAGCUUGGAGUCUCUCAGCUCAGCUGGACUAGAUGAAUCUUCUCAGGGUCGUCUUCUCCCACCUCUGGCUCCCAGUUCCUUCCCCCAGUCUCUCCCUCCCUGCUCUGUGUGAUCAGGGAAGCUGCAAACCCAACCCUUACAUCAAAAGGGAACUUGAAAAAUACUUGGAGCAAAAACUGCUAACUGUGCAUCCUUGCUGUAUGCUGGCGCUGAUAUUAAAUCAGGAAAUGGCACUGAACAGCCGCUCCGAACACAGAAACAGGGGUUGUCAACACAGCAACCAAAAGCAAUCUCUAACGGGCAGAGGUGAAAGGGACCUGGCACAGGGCCAGGAGGGGGGCUGCAACCCAGGAAAGAAUUCCUGAGCUGAGUGUGUCUGUGCCACCUCUCCAGUGUCCAGAAUGAAGCCUGGAUCUCAGUCCCUGGCAUGGAAUGCACCUUGUCUCUCUCCAUGAGGGAUGAAAGAUAAUUAGAUAAUUAAGCAUGUUGCUUAAAUACCUUUGAAAUUCUCCUUUUUAUUUCCAUACAUGUUUACCGAGCACCCACUAUGUGCCUGACAGUCCAAUAAAAAAGAUGCCUUCCCAUGUGGAGAUGACCUUCUAGCCCUCAGGACAGAACUCUGACCCUUUGACAUGGCAUUCAAGGUCCUUCGAGUGUUGGCUCCUGCAGAAGCUUUCAUCUCUGUUUCCAGCCUCCCUGAAAUAGCUCCCCAAGGGCACGAGGCAGUACCUUUGCUCCAUGCCUUUGCUUGGACUAGUCCUACCACCAGCAAUUCCUGCAUUUCUGUGUUUGGCAAGUUUCUGCUCAGCCUCCAAAGCCUUAACCAAGUGUCACCUUUUCUCUGCAGCAUUUUCUGCCACCCUCCCCAUUUCUUCCAAUAGAACCAGGGAUCUUUUACUUGGGAUCCAGAAGCACUGUGGACAUAUUGCCAUCACAACACCUUUCAUGUCACAAUGGCAAGGUUUGCACUGUCUUGGAGGAGAGGAAGGAAGCCAUAUUCAUCCCUGAACCCUCAUCUCCCAGCACUGGUUGUAAAACUGAAACAAAAAUGGAAAACCUUGAUGAAAUUCAUUGUUGGUGUGGCUAUGGGGAAACAGAUUUUCCAUUUCUGAUAGUAAAUGAAAUAGGCACCAUCUUGUUAGAGGCUAAUUUGACAUUAUUAACACUGAAAAUGCACACAUCUUUCAACCCAGCAAUUUUAUUUCUUGCUUUCUAGAGGAAUGUUUGCCCAUGUGCAGAAAGGCGCAUGUAAAAAGCUGAGUUGCAGCAUUGUUUGCAAUAGUAAAAGAUUUGAAAUUGCUUAAAUGUCGGUCAAUAUGGCCUGGAUAAAAAACUAUAGGGCAUCCAUUGGAUAGAAUGCUAUGCAUUAGUUAAAAAGAAGUAGAUUUCCAUGUAUUGACCAAGCAUUUGCUGAGUAAAAAUCAAAAGCAAGCUGUAGCUCUAGACAUAGAUGUUAAAAUUACAUUGCUGCAUUUUUUCACAA